rfam:Mortierella elongata AG-77 unplaced genomic scaffold K457scaffold_47, whole genome shotgun sequence.
AAUGUUGUUGCAAUAAUAAUUGAACUUAGUACGAGAGGAAUCAUUCAUUCGGAUAAUUGGUAUUUGGGCCUGCCUGAGCAGGCAAUGGCCCGAAGCUAUCAUCUGUUGGGGUUAUGGCUGAACGCCUCUAAUUCAGAACUCGUGCUAGAACACGACAAUAACAUGCCUUUUCUGACUUUUAGUUGAAUCAUAAUACAUGGGACUGUCUUGCAGAGCGGAAAGGCUCUACGAGAUUCCUGCUAAUGUUAAUCUCAAAUAUCGGAAAAUAUAAAUACAUUGCAGACGACUUUUAAGCAAUGAGCUAUUGUAAUCAUGCGAGUAGCCCUGUCGCUACGAGACGAGGAGAGUUUUGCUUUUGUUGCACAGAUUU